rnacentral:rRNA from 1 species
AUUGAACGCUGUCGGCAGGCCUAACACAUGCAAGUCGAACGAGUGGCGGACGGGUGAGUAAUGUCUGGGAAACUGCCUGAUGGAGGGGGGUAAAUACUGGAAAAGGUAGCUAAUAACGCAUACCAUCGGAUGUGCCCAGAGGGGAUUAGCUAGUAGGUGGGGUAAAGGCUCACCAAGGCGAAGAUCCCUAGCUGGUCUGAGAGGAUGACCAGCCACACUGGAACUGAGAUACGGGCCAUACUCCGACGGGAGGCAGCAGUGGGGAAUAUUGCACAAUGGGCGCAAGCCUGAUUCAGCCAUGCCGCGUGUAUGAAGAAGGCCUUCGGGUUGUAAAGUACUUUCAGUGGGGAGGCGUUACCCGCAGAAGAAGCACCGGCUAACUCCGUGCCAGCAGCCGCGGUAAUUC